GAUGAACGCUGGCGGCGUGCCUAAUACAUGCAAGUCGAGCGAACAGACGAGGAGCUUGCUCCUUUGACGUUAGCGGCGGACGGGUGAGUAACACGUAGGUAACCUACCUAUAAGACUGGGAUAACUUCGGGAAACCGGAGCUAAUACCGGAUAAUAUUUCGAACCGCAUGGUUCGAUAGUGAAAGAUGGCUUUGCUAUCACUUAUAGAUGGACCUGCGCCGUAUUAGCUAGUUGGUAAGGUAACGGCUUACCAAGGCAACGAUACGUAGCCGACCUGGGAGGGUGAUCGGCAACACUGGAACUGAGACACGGUCCAGACUCCUACGGGAGGCAGCAGUAGGGAAUCUUCCGCAAUGGGCGAAAGCCUGACGGAGCAACGCCGCGUGAGUGAUGAAGGUCUUCGGAUCGUAAAACUCUGUUAUUAGGGAAGAACAAACGUGUAAGUAACUGUGCACGUCUUGACGGUACCUGACCAGAAAGCCACGGCUAACUACGUGCCAGCAGCCGCCGUAA
rnacentral:rRNA from 1 species